GACGAACGCUGGCGGCGUGCUUAACACAUGCAAGUCGAACGGAAAGGCGCUGUUUCUGUGGGGUGCUCGAGUGGCGAACGGGUGAGUAACACGUGAGUAACCUGCCCUUGACUUUGGGAUAAAUUCAGGCAACUGGGGAUAAUACCGGAUAGGAGGCCGUGCUGCAUGGAGGGGGUUGGAAAGUUUCGGCGGUUGGGGAUGGACUCGCGGCUUAUCAGCUUGUUGGUGGGGUAGUGGCUUACCAAGGCUUUGACGGGUCGCCGGCCUGAGAGGGUGACCGGGGACAUUGGGACUGAGAGACGGCCCAGACACCUACGGGAGGCAGCGGUGGGGAGUAUAGCGCAAUGGGCGGAAGCCUGUUGCAGCAACGUCGCGUGCGGGAUAACGGCCUUCGGGUUGUAAACCGCUUUCGCCGGAGACGAGGCGAGAGUGACGGUAAUGGGUAAAGAAGCACCGGCUAACUACGUG
rnacentral:rRNA from 1 species